rnacentral:lncRNA from 1 species
AAAAGAUCUGAGAUCCCUAGAAUUGCAGUUGAUAUGAAUGUGUGUUUCUGUGUAUGCAAAUCAGUUCAUGUCCUUUGUAUAUGCCUGUUUGUAGUAAUUACACUGACCUGGCAAGGGUGGUUAUAGGACAUCUAAACCCACAGCAAAAAUUAAAAAUAACCCAUCUUUAAAAUAUUAACAGUGGAAGAAUGGCCUGAAGAGGUGGAGGAGGAGGAAGAAGUGGAAGAAGAAGAAAUUUAUGAAAGAGAGGAGGAGAUUUCUUAUGAAAGGGAGGAGGAAAUUUCUUAUGAAAGAGAGGAGAUCUCUUAUGAGAGAGAGGAAGAGAUUUCUGAAGUAACAGAAGAGGCCUACUACGCUGAGGAGACAGUGCAUGAAGAAGUCCCACCAGUUAAAGUACCUGAGGUUCGGAAGAAACCUGAACCAGAAAAGAAAGUACCAGUUGCUGUUCCCAAGAAAGUGGAAGCUCCCCCAGCUAGAGUGGCCAAGAAAGCACCUCCUGAGGAACGGGCACCACCUAAAGCAAAAGAACCUCCAGCACCCAAAGUGACCGAAGUACAUAAGAAAAAGGUUGUCACUGAAGAAAAAGUAACAGUCACUAAGAAGGAGGAGGCUCCACCAAAAAGAGGUAUAUAAAGUUUUAAAUUCUGUGGAAUUUAUAUAUAUGUAUCUUAAGAUUUCUUGGGAACUAAAGAACUGCACAGCAAAUGCGAGAA